GAUGAACGCUGGCGGCGUGCUUAACACAUGCAAGUCGAACGAAGCAGGAGGGUGCUUGCACCUUCCUGCUGAGUGGCGGACGGGUGAGUAACACGUGGAUAAUCUGCCCUGCACAGGGGGACAACAGCUAGAAAUGGCUGCUAAUACCGCAUAAGCCUACAGCCUCGCAUGAGGGAGUAGGAAAAGAAAUUCGGUGCAGGAUGAGUCCGCGUCUGAUUAGCUAGUUGGAGGGGUAAAAGCCCACCAAGGCAACGAUCAGUAGCCGGCCUGAGAGGGCGACCGGCCACAUUGGGACUGAGACACGGCCCAA
rnacentral:rRNA from 1 species